rnacentral:rRNA from 1 species
AUUGAACGCUGGCGGCAGGCCUAACACAUGCAAGUCGAGCGGAUGAACGGAGCUUGCUCCUGGAUUCAGCGGCGGACGGGUGAGUGAUGCCUAGGAAUCUGCCUGGUAGUGGGGGAUAACGUCCGGAAACGGGCGCUAAUACUGCAUACGACGUGAGGGAGAAAGUGGGGGAUCUUCGGACCUCACGCUAUCUGAUGAGCCUAGGUCGGAUUAGCUAGUUGGUGGGGUAAAGGCCUACCAAGGCGACGAUCGGUAGCUGGUCUGAGAGGAUGAUCAGUCACACUAGAACUGAGACACGGUCCAGACUCCUACGGGAGGCAGCAGUGGGGAAUAUUGGGCAAUGGGCGAAAGCCUGAUCCAGCCGUGCCGCGUGUGUGAAGAAGGUCUUCGGAUUGUAAAGCACUUUAAGUUGGGAGGAAGGGCAGUAAGUUAAUACCUUGCUGUUUUGACGGUACCAACAGAAUAAGCACCGGCUAACUACGUG